rnacentral:rRNA from 1 species
UACGUAGGCAGCAAGCGUUGUUCGGAAUUACUGGGCGUAAAGAGUGUGUAGGCGGUGCUCUAAGUUCGGUGUGAAAUCUCCCGGCUUAACUGGGAGGGUGCGCCGAAAACUGGAGUGCUCGAGCGUGGGAGAGGAAAGCGGAAUUCCUGGUGUAGCGGUGAAAUGCGUAGAUAUCAGGAGGAACACCUGCGGUGUAGACGGCUUUCUGGACCAUUGCUGACGCUGAGACACGAAAGCGUGGGGAGCAAACAGG